AUGGCUUUGGCAGGCGCAGUCCUGAUCUAUGUGGUGAUCCACAUUGUCUUCUUCACGCUGGACCACAAGGACAAGCAAGACAAUGAUCAAGAAGAUCAGUUGCUGGAGAAGAGGCGCAAACGGUUGCUCCUCUUCGCAAUCUUGGCAGCGACCAUCACCUACCAAGCCGGCCUCACCCCUCCCGGCGGCUUCCUGCUCCAGGACGAUGGACGACAAGCUCGGUCGGCACCACGCUGGCGACCCGGUCCUCUUGGACAACUACCCACGCCGCUACAAUGCCUUCUUCUACUGCAACUCGAUAAGCUUCAUGUUGUCCAUCGCCCUCAUCAUCCUCUUGGUCAACCCCAAUCUGUACAGGCCAGCCAUACGGAGCAAUGCAUUAUCUGUUUGUACAGCGGUGGGCUUGUUUUGUUUGAUGGGAGCCUAUGCCGCGGGAAGCACCCAACACCUCAAGACAUCCAUCUACAUCUUCGUGUUGGUGGCCGUGGUCAUCCUUGUUGCAGUCGGACUGCUGCUAGUAUUUUUGAAGGGAAAUGGCAAUUCUGA
rnacentral:rRNA from 1 species